UGUGUAACGGCUGUGUGUGUUUACACGCAGCGGCUUGUAGUGACGGAGAGAGUGAAAGUGAGCGGAGCGGAUCAGCGUGACAAACAGCCGCUCGCUCUCUCUCUCCACUGAUCUCGGAUCGGUUUCACCCAGUGUAUCGAGAGCCCGAUUCGCCGGAGGAGUUCUGAGACACCAUGUUGGUCGUAAUGAGGAUGUUCUUGGAGCCGAUGAGGGAGGGGUUGAUGAGGACAUUCUGGACUGUGCCUGGAGUAGUCGGGGUGGCUGUAAAUAUAACCAGUGUGACAACAGUUAUUACUAAUAGGAGAAGCAGCCUGUGAGGAGGGGAUCUGAACAGUGAAGCGCUGGCCUGUCAGUGACACAGGGGUUCCCACUUUACUGCCCAUUGUCUGCACUGAGGGGGUACCUGAAAACCAGCAAAAAAAAGCACAAUGAUGCUCAGGAUUCAGCUCAUGAAACAAAUCCCUUAAUUCCCAAGUUCUGGGAACUGUGUUUAUUACUAAAAUUUAUGCCAAAACAAAAAAGGACAAAAGAGUAAAACAGAGAAUCACAAAUA